rnacentral:rRNA from 1 species
AUUGAACGCUGGCGGCAGGCCUAACACACGCAAGUCGAACGGUAACAGGAAGCAGCUUGCUGCUUCGCUGACGAGUGGCGGACGGGUGAGUAAUGUCUGGGAAACUGCCUGAUGGAGGGGGAUAACUACUGGAAACGGUAGCUAAUACCGCAUAACGUCGCAAGACCAAAAGAGGGGGACCUUCGGGCCUCUUGCCAUCGGAUGUGCCCAGAUGGGAUUAGCUAGUAGGCGGGGUAACGGCUCACCUAGGCGACGAUCCCUAGCUGGUCUGAGAGGAUGGCCAGCCACACUGGAACUGAGACACGGUCCAG